UGGACCUCAGAUCAGGCAAGAUUACCCGCUGAGUUUAAGCAUAUCACUAAGCGGAGGAAAAGAAACUAACAAGGAUUUCCUUAGUAACGGCGAGCGAACCGGAAUGAGCCCAGC
rnacentral:rRNA from 1 species